GGCAAAAAAAAGACCGAAUACGAUUCCUAUAUUCGGUCCAGGGAAAUGGCUCCUGGGAGAGAGCCGUGCGCUAAAAGUUGGCAUUUUUUGCAGGCUGGAUAAGCCUUACAUGACUAAGAAUAGAAUAAAGGCACGAAACUUCCACCGU
rnacentral:sRNA from 1 species